CCAACAGCUUUUUUGAAAGCUACCCAAGUACCAACCAAACUGCUU
rfam:Mus musculus chromosome 4, GRC primary reference assembly.